UUUCUUCGGAGAGUUUGAUCCUGGCUCAGGAUGAACGCUGGCGGCGUGCCUAAUACAUGCAAGUCGAGCGAACUGAUUAGAAGCUUGCUUCUAUGACGUUAGCGGCGGACGGGUGAGUAACACGUGGGCAACCUGCCUGUAAGACUGGGAUAACUUCGGGAAACCGAAGCUAAUACCGGAUAGGAUCUUCUCCUUCAUGGGAGAUGAUUGAAAGAUGGUUUCGGCUAUCACUUACAGAUGGGCCCGCGGUGCAUUAGCUAGUUGGUGAGGUAAC
rnacentral:rRNA from 1 species